rnacentral:tRNA from 1 species
UUAAUUGAAACCAAAAUAGAGGUAAAUUAUUGUUAAUAAUUAUAAUGAAUUUUAAAUUCCAAUUAUU